CACGAGUUUGAUCAUGGCUCAGGAUGAACGCUAGCGGCAGGCUUAACACAUGCAAGUCGAGGGGUAGGUUACUUCGGUAAUUGAGACCGGCGCACGGGUGCGUAACGCAUAUACAAUCUACCUUUUACAGAGGGAUAGCCCAGAGAAAUUUGGAUUAAUACCUCAUAGUAUUUUUGAAUCGCAUGAUUUGAUUAUUAAAGUUCCAACGGUAAAAGAUGAGUAUGCGUCCCAUUAGCUAGAUGGUAAGGUAACGGCUUACCAUGGCUACGAUGGGUAGGGGUCCUGAGAGGGAGAUCCCCCACACUGGUACUGAGACACGGACCAGACUCCUACGGGAGGCAGCAGUGAGGAAUAUUGGACAAUGGGCGCAAGCCUGAUCCAGCCAUGCCGCGUGCAGGAAGAAGGUCCUAUGGAUUGUAAACUGCUUUUAUACAGGAAGAAACACUCCCUCGUGAGGGAACUUGACGGUACUGUAUGAAUAAGGACCGGCUAACUCCGUG
rnacentral:rRNA from 1 species